rnacentral:rRNA from 1 species
UACGUAGGGACCAAGCGUUGUUCGGAUUUACUGGGCGUAAAGGGCGCGUAGGCGGCGUGGUAAGUCACUUGUGAAAUCUCUGAGCUUAACUCAGAACGGCCAAGUGAUACUGCUGUGCUAGAGUGCAGAAGGGGCAAUCGGAAUUCUUGGUGUAGCGGUGAAAUGCGUAGAUAUCAAGAGGAACACCUGAGGUGAAGGCGGUUCUCUGGGAAUGACCUGACGCUGAGGAGCGAAAGUGUGGGGAGCGAACAGG